rnacentral:rRNA from 1 species
AUGGAGUACGAAAUUAGUACUGGACACAAUGCUCUGGAGCGCAUGUUAAUUGAUGGAAGUACGGAGCCAAUGGAUCUGCCGUUAUCACUUUUAGAAGACAUCACAAAUUGUUUCUCUGACGAUCAGCAAAUCGGCAGUGGCGGGUUUGCAUUGGUCUAUAAGGGAAUGGUCGGAAAUGAGAUAGUUGCUGUGAAGAGGCUAUCCAGGAAUAUGCAUGAGAGUAAAUUCCACAAAGAGGUUGAGUGCUUGAUGAAGGCCAAGCACAAAAACAUAGUGCGCUUUUUAGGAUAUUGUUCUGACACGCAAGGGAAAAUUAUGGUCUAUGAGGGGAAGAUGGUCAUGGCAGAUAUACGAAAUUGGUUGCUCUGUUUUGAGUAUGUACCCAACAGCAGUCUUGAUAAGUAUAUUACUGAUGCAUCUCAUGGACUUGAUUGGAGGGAGUGUUUUCAGAUAAUUAAGGAAACAUGUGACGGUCUAUGUCAUCUUCAUGAGAAGCGCAUUUUGCACUUAGAUUUGAAACCCGCUAAUAUUCUAAUAGAUGAUCACAUGGUACCCACGUUUGUACUUCAAACCUUUGUGGAUCACUCGGAUAUUUGGCACCUGAGUUCUAUAGUGGGCAAAUCACAUUUGUAUCGGACAUAUAUAGUCUUGGCGUUAUAA